GAUGAACGCUGGCGGCGUGCCUAAUACAUGCAAGUCGAGCGAACAGACGAGGAGCUUGCUCCUCUGACGUUAGCGGCGGACGGGUGAGUAAAACGUGGAUAACCUACCUAUAAGACUGGGAUAACUUCGGGAAACCGGAGCUAAUACCGGAUAAUAUAUUGAACCGCAUGGUUCAAUAGUGAAAGACGGUUUUGCUGUCACUUAUAGAUGGAUCCGCGCCGCAUUAGCUAGUUGGUAAGGUAACGGCUUACCAAGGCGACGAUGCGUAGCCGACCUGAGAGGGUGAUCGGCCACACUGGAACUGAGACACGGUCCAGACUCCUACGGGAGGCAGCAGUAGGGAAUCUUCCGCAAAGGGCGAAAGCCUGACGGAGCAACGCCGCGUGAGUGAUGAAGGUCUUCGGAUCGUAAAACUCUGUUAUUAGGGAAGAACAAAUGUGUAAGUAACUAUGCACGUCUUGACGGUACCUAAUCAGAAAGCCACGGCUAACUACGUG
rnacentral:rRNA from 1 species